ACCAAAAACUGCAUCACACAACACUAAUCACACAACGGAAUAGAAAUUAUCCGUUGUGUGUUUAAGUAAACUCGAUUGUACAACGGUAUUAGUGAUGUUCUGUUGUGUGAAUGUCAAUAAAGUGAUAACUUUUUUAUCAGAACUACAUUGCACAACGGAAUUAAGUAUUGUCCGUCGUCUGAGUCUUAAAAAAUUUAGCGGCAGAUUUCCCUCCACUUUGGAGUCUUGGUUGCCUCUUGAAACACUGAAAUUUGGGGUACUAGGUACAACGGAUUUCACUAUUUUCGUUGUAUGAUUAAAAAACUUAGCACCAAAGUUUGAGGAAGCUUGCUUGAAUGUCUUCCCCUAGAUAGGCUUAGUGCAAGCUGUAGAAAUUAUACAACAGAAUUAAGAUUUUCUGAUGUGUGAACUUGGAACUGGGCGGCAACAUUUUGAGCUAAAAUGCUAUAGGCGCCAUGUUUCCCUCCAUGAUUUCCCAUUUUGAUUUUUAGUGCGACACUCAGACGACAGUUGGGUGAGGUUUCUGUUGUGUGAGUAACUUUGACAAUUUUUUUUCUAGGUUUAAUUGCCAUGCCACAUUGUGGUGCAAAAAAACACAAAGAGAGAAGGAAAACAAAACCUAGCACGACAUACAAAGACUCUCAACCCUCUCUCUCGAAUAGCCUCCCCGAAACGCCUCUCUUUCUCUCUCAUGAAACCUCGAUCUCUCUCGUGAAUCUUUUAGUCCUCCGCGAAAGCUCUCUGUCUCGUGAAACCUCUCUCGGCCCUCUCUCCCCAGUUGUGUGGAAUUUCAACCCUCUAAAUCCCUAAAUCCUCCACCUUGACAGGGAGCCGACUACGAUGGCCUCGAUUCUCAAGCCGUCCAAUGGGGUGAGAUGGGAAGACGAUGGCAAUGAGCAAUAGCGGCGGUGGCGUUUCUGGAUAGGCAGAGGGCUCACUUCAACAGUGUUUUGAGAGCUCUCUCUGCGGGAAAUUGGGGUUCGAAUUUGUGCUCGCUCUUCACUUCUCCAAACCCGCCUUCAACUCCGUCUACCUAAUGGAUAAUUGAAGCUCCGCUUUGCGUUACCCUCCUCUCUCUCUCUCUCUCUAUGUCUAAAGAUCUAAAUCAAUUCAAGGCUUCUCAAUCUGGUAAGGUCCCUAUCUCCAACAAAUUUGCUGAUUUCGGUUUAUUCCCUUCCCUCCUCUCCUUUUCUCCUUGCUGACGACGACCUGAAACAAAACAAAUCCAACGAGAUAAAGGCGGUUCCUAUUGCCAAUGGCUUCUUCAACUCUCCGGCCACUAGCAGUAAUUAUUCCUCAUUUCAAGUCUUUGUUCAGUUGGUUCCCUUGAUGCUAGACAGCAAGAGCUCCCAUUCAAUCAUUUUAGGGGCACUCGUGGGCUUCAAAGAUUAAGAGAUUAGAGUUCAAUUUUCAGAGAGCUCUCAAAUUACCCAGUUCGUGGAAAGAAGAGUUGUGCCAAAGAAGAGGCCCUGAUUUUUCAAACCUGUGUUGUGUGAGCUUGAGAUGUCUGCAUCAAUGUGCUAGUAGUGAUUGCUGUAAAUUGUUGUGAAACAUGGCUGAAAUUAGACUUACAAAGGUAGAACAAGGCCAAACCAAGAUUAGAAAUGUUCCGAUUGCCGUAACCCCAGAAGGUUUUUGGUGUUGUCCUUCUCCUUUUGGUAGGCUAUCUUGGUUGCUGCAUAUGCAGCUCAAUCACAGGCAGGCACAAAAGAGCUCACCUCAAAGGGAUGGAAAAUAAAAUACAAGAUACUAACUCUCAUGGAAGAGAAACAGUUGACUUUUAACCACGCUUAGAGGGUCUGUUGACAGAAUAUCAGAAGAGAUCAGAGACGAGAACUUCUCCCUCUUGCCACCUGUCCUGUCUUUCAAAAUCGAGUAAUAACUAUAUUCCUUUGUCUUUCAUAUUUAUGUCAUUGUUAUGGUUAAUAAUGGAAUGUGCAAUACCUUAUAUGAAUAAUAUAACUCCUCUCCUUUUCUCCUUGCUGACGACGACCUGAAACAAAACAAACCCAACGAGAUAAAGGCGGUUCCUAUUGCCAAUGGCUUCUUCAACUCUCCGGCCACUAGCAGUAAUUAUUCCUCAUUUCAAGUCUCUGUUCAGUUGGUUCCCUUGAUGCUUGACAGUGAGAGCUCCCAUUCAAUCAUUUUAGGGGUAGUCGUGGGCUUCAAAGAUUAAGAGAUUAGAGUUCAAUUUUCAGAGAGCUCUCAGAUUAUCCAGUUCUUGGUUAUCAGUAGAAGAGAUUGUUUUUUAUAGCAAUCAUGUGUUCGAGCAGUGGAAUGAGAACCGACCUGUGCCCAGGUCUUGAUGUGUUCAGAAGCACCACUAUCAACAGGUCACUUUGAUGUCAUAUGUUGCUUAUUUUGGUUGUUGUCAUUGUAUUUCGAUGGCAAGUGUUUGCAUAAUGUGAUAGUAUUUACAAGAACUCUGGUAUUGUUAACUAUAGGUCUCAUUGUGAAAUUAUAAUCAUUUUCCUUCCAUCAGUUUAAGGAUUAUGAUACCAAGAACUCUGGUAUUUUGAAAGAAAUCUGCAGAAACUGUCCUGCAGUACAGCCUUCUUUGGUAUUUCUUUUUCCUGACUUAUUGACCUCCAAAUGACCUGAAUUUUUGAUAUGUUUUACUUCUGUUAGUUAGCAAAGGAUCUGGAAAGUUUCAUCGCAUGUCGACAUAAACUGAAUGUUCUGUGAAUUUUCCAAGUUUGGUCUGUAAUUGAGAAAGUUCCAAAAUUUUAAAUGUUCCUCUGAUUUUCUGUUGAGAUUUGAACUUCUACUUGAAUCAUUUAAGUUCUGGUUUUUCUGUACAUUGAACUAGACAUCCCAAUGCUUGUUUGAAAACUGAUUCCUUGUCAUUUGGAUUUGCAAUGAAUUUUUGGUGAAUUUUCUAAGUUGACCAUGCUGCUGAGAAAGUACGUGUGGAGGUAUUCAUAGACUCUUUCACAGGGAAGAGGACACUCGAAGUAGCGGGUUGAAAUUGUCAAUAUUCCUGCUGCUAAUGUAGCCUCAAUUUGGUUUUAGUGUUGCAAAGAACGUCAAGUGCAGACAAUCUUGAGGAUCAAUGAUAUCUUUUGCUAUACUAGAUGAAUCACUAGUACAUUCAAACAAUUGAUACCUUGGACAAAAGAAUAGGUCAGAACGUACUCUUAUCUUGGUGUGGUAUGAACUAAAUGGUGGAAUGUUGCAUAAAGAGUCUUUGGGAGAUCGAGCGUGGAGUACAAAGCAAUGCAGCAAGCUAUAUUUUCUUUCAUCAUGUAAAACUUAACCAGGAAACUUAAAUGCUUUUUAGUCUAUGAGAUGUAUGAAUGCUUUAGCAAUGUUCCUUAAAUUCAAUAUUUGAUGAAUUGAUGUAUCACAAUGAUUUUGGUACAAAUGUUGAUCAUUUGAUGGUUUGCAUUCAA